AAAACAAAGGGUUCACUAAAGAACAGGAAGUACACUGCAAGCUGCAUCAAAUGUACAAGGUUUUAGUUGCAAAGUCCCUCAUUUACACUUGUAAGAACUGUUGCCUCAUGACCCCAAGAUAUUGUGGCCCUUUGUUUUCCAAGUCAGCCUAGCCAUCAUUAAAUAUAUACAAUAACACAACUUAUCAACUUAUCAGAUCAAAAAACACUAAAUGAAGUUAUCAGAGGACAUUAGACAACACAAAUGAGGACUCUGUAUACUUUAUCAGGAGAGGGUAGAAGUACUGAAGCUUUUAUCAUUUCCUCCAAGGUCACCUCUCACUCCAAGAUGAAAGCUAGGAUAGAUUUUCUCCUGUUGAGGGAAGUGAUAAACCAGCAUAUUGAGGUCAGAGAUAAGAAUGUGUUUGGCUGUGACUAGGCAGUGUUUUUCCCCUCUAUCAGCUGUGCUUUUGCCAUGAAUGGAAGAUGAAAGCCAACCAAGAGAAAAACCAAUCUUUUAAGUCCAAGAGGCUAGCAGUGUCAUGUGGAAGCACUUAGCUUAUAGGCUCUUCUUAAUUAUCAUGUGUUCUGACAUAGGACUGCAGAAAAUGGAGGUAGGUGGUACUUCUUAAACUGCACUGCAAACCCAACUUGUGGGAAAACAUAUUUUGACAUUUUCUGAAGACAAUGCCAAUGCAAAACUCUAUGUCAAAAUGUGCAAAAAGGUGCUGAGUGGUUACUAGCAGGUGACUAAAGCAUUUUGGGUGGUUGCAAGAGGGUGUUCUGGAUAGGUAGCACAUUGCUAUGCUGCUAGAAGGGAAUUUUAGGUGGUUCCAAAGGUGCUGCUAAAGUUUGCUGUAUCAUCAAAAGAGCCUAAAGGGUGGAAUACAUUUUUGCCCGGAUUUGGAGUUCGGAUGCAUCAAUGUUAGCUGGCAAAUGUCAAAGUCAAUCUGCAGAUUUUGGUCAAUUUAGUCAAAUUUCGACAGAUUUCACCGAAAAUUUAAUUAUGGGCACAGCCUUUUUUAGCUUCAGACCAUGACUCCUUGAAGUCAGAGGACAUCAAAUAUGUUUGAUAUUUUGAGCUGAAUUUAGAACACACAUCGUUUUCAUUUGUCAUGCGUCUCCUAGCAACAAGGCACAUUUCUACAGUAUGUGAGUUUGUUGUGCUCAGGACGACUUGAAAGUACCUCUCACUUCUUUGAUGCCCAGUUGUUGUUGUUUUAGCCUUUUACAAAGUCAGCAAGGGUUUCAUACCUAGUGUUUUAGUGUUAUAAUCUGAUUCUUAGAUAUGGCCAUCCAUAUAUUCUUUAACCCGUUUGUCCAAUGUACGGUCUGGGGUAGAUACGGCCAGGCCAGGUGAAAAGUCUAAGUGAUGUAAUUUGAAAUAACAUUCAUGUUCAAAGCAAAAACAGAGCAGAGUUAGAUAAAAAUGUUUGUCUAGCCAGCACUACUAACUAAACAAUAGGUCAGUUCCAGACACUCAACAGUGUACAGACCUGCUUAUAAUAUUAACAUAAACUGCAUUUAUCUUUAAUUCCCAAGGACAAUGUUACAGCAGAGAGGACCCUUCUAUCAACACUCCUGAUGGUUUAAAGGGACAUUCUUCCCCCAUGGCCAGGGAUCCACCAACACUGGCAGUCUGCCUGUCUGCCAAAGCACAUGAUUAGCCUGGCUCUAAUGCUGUACAGUACUCCUCUGCCUACACAACACCCACACAAGACUCACUGUUACCAUGUCAUACAUGAAAGAAUGCAGCUCACCCUGCCAUCACUGUGUGAGGUGUUGUGAGUGGUACAGCUCAAGAUGGACGAUCGUUGUUGCUUGAAACACAACAUGCUUAAUGUAUGUUUUAAUAAAAGGUAAUAAAGGUGGAGCAUCCUG